AACGCACCUUGCGCUCCUUGGUAUUCCGAGGAGCAUGCCUGUUUGAGUGUCAUUAAAUUCUCAACCCCACCAGCUUUUGUGGCUGGCCCUUGGGGCUUGGAUGUGGAGGUUUUGCUGGCUGCAAGGUCAGCUCCUCUGAAAUGCAUUAGCGGAACCGUUUGCGAUCCGUCACUGGUGUGAUAAUUAUCUACGCCAAGUGGGUUGCUUUCUGUCUGUUCAGCUUAUAAUCGUCUUCACAGACAACUUAUUGAACACUUGGCCUCAAAUCAGGUAGGAUUACCCGCUGAACUUAA
rnacentral:misc_RNA from 1 species